AAGGGGGCAACCCCCGGUAGCGUGGCAGACGGGUGAGUAACACGUGGGUAACCUACCCGGAGGUGGGGGAUAACCCUUCGAAAGGAGGGCUAAUACCGCAUGACACCGUGGGGACCUCGGUCCUUGCGAUCAAAGCUGGCCUCUGUUUACAAGCUAGCGCCACCGGAUGGGCCCGCGCCCCAUUAGCUAGUUGGUGAGGUAACGGCUCACCAAGGCGACGAUGGGUAGCCGGCCUGAGAGGGCGAUCGGCCACACUGGAACUGCGACACGGUCCAGACUCCUACGGGAGGCAGCAGUGAGGAAUAUUGCGCAAUGGGCGAAAGCCUGACGCAGCGACGCCGCGUGGAGGAUGAAGGUCUUCGGA
rnacentral:rRNA from 1 species